GCCAAGGGAUUUUCCGGGAACACUCAACUUCCCAAGUGACCCACAUCUCUCUGAAGAAGUCUCAGCGAGGACAGCACGAUCUGGAAGUUGUGAAGAGGUUGGAUCUAAGCAGAAGUCUGGCCAGCUGCCGCCAUCUUCAAGGCUCCUCCUGCAGGAUGAGACUACAAAAUGUGUCACAAAUUAAGAAGCCAUCAAGUAAUACGAAGGCGAAAGAGUGAAGGGAGGAGAGAUAGCAUGAAGAUGAGUCUAAACUGGCGUGAUCUUUGAGGAUAUUAUAGAUUCUCAGGUGAAAUAUCUGGGAUAAAUGGAAGCCUGUACCAAGAGAAAGGAUGACAGGAGCCUAGCAUAGCAGCUCUCUGAGAGGCUCUACCAAGCAGCUGACUGAGACAGAUGCAGAUACUCACAGACAAACACUGGACGGAAGUUUAAGACCCCUAUGGAAGAGUUAGAGGAAAGGUUGGAGGCCCACGAAGAGAUGGCAACCCCACAGGAAG